AUGCUUCUGCCUCAGUGCGGAGGCACGCAACACCAUUAUCCGUCCUUGCGGGCCUGCUGGAGAGCCCCACAAGGAGGAGUGAAAAGAUACACAGCAGGUAUUUUAUUUGUGGACGGAAAUGACAGGAAAUGUGGGUUUAGAGGUGGCGAGCCCAUGAAGAGGUGGAGGAGAAUGAGAGACAAAUUUGUCCGUGUUAAAAAGUCUCUUAUAUACUGUACAAAAAAACACAAUAUAAACACACUAUCUUGGACCGGAUACAUGACAGGAUACCACAGAACAGCGCUACGCCCUCUGUGGUCCUGCCGGGCAAUUGCUUUGCAACUCUCCCCAGGAGACGGAGAAGUAUGAAAGCAAAACGCUUCCAUCAAUCCGUGCGUGUCUGUCCCUUGCGGAGCUGACGGAGAAGCAUAAACCAGGCUUAAGGGUCCAAACAGGCAGAGGUUUGUGGGGCCCACUAGAGGACCAGUAUGGGGUCAGACAGUCUAAGCCUCCCUCUGUGUUGGAGAUGGCCCUGGGAUAGGUGGCUCAGACACACACACCCCCGUGAGAACGACUGAGCUGCAUAGUUCCCUGGAACACAAAGAAAUAUACACGCCAGUGAAUAAAGUCUGUUUAACCAACCAUCCUGAAGUAUGUCUAUGCGUACAGUACAGGGAGACAAAUCACACACCUUGGUUCACAGAUUUUCAAUGGAAACAUGAAACACACACACACACACACAAAAUAUAUACAUAUAUAUUUAUAUCAAGCAGACAGAUCAUAUUUAAUGUGUUAAUGUGUAUUUUAAUUUAAACAGAAAACAUGCAGAAACCUUGAGGAUGCUGACAAAUAUUUAUCUCCAUGGCAACUGCAGGUUUGCAGAGGAAAGGACAUUCAAAAGUGUCCAUAAACUGAAAACCCAGAUAAUCCGUCAAGGUGAAUUUAUGUUCUAUUAUCCUGUCAAGUAUCUGCAUGUUAGUAAUUCUUGCUGCCUGAUGAUUUAUUUAUCACUUUUCUUCAUGGCAGCAGCAGUUCAGUUUUCCAUAAGAAGAUUGAAUUUCAUUUUUCAGUUGGAGGAAGACAGUUAGACAUAAUAACAUGUUUUGCUGCUGUAGAAGAACACAAUGUCUCAGUUCCAUGUACAGCCAACAUUGUUUCUGUUAAUUGUCACUUUUAUCUCAAAACAAACUAAAACAUCCUCACAAUAAAAUGAUAGGAGCAAAACAAUAGCGGUGUUCACCGAAGAUGCCAAAUUCUUUUCAUUUUUGAAAAUUUGGAAUGGACUGUUCCAAGAGAGGGAGAGCAGCAUUAGUUAGUUUUACCCUCUGGAGGCAGGCGUUGCAGAUUUGCAACAGUUAAAACCUACCUACCUGGUUACUCCACAUAUGUCUUUCAUGAGCAUUUUUGACUCAGAAGUACCCCUGAAUGGCUUAGUUGUUCGUCCUUUUAUCAAAACUUAUUUUGAGCCUGAGAGGGUAAAAAGUGAUGAUUAUACACUCCAUGAUUUCUGGUAAGGUAAUAACUUUCUAUAGUGUUAAAUGUAUGUAACACUUCUUUAAUUAAUACAUUUGCAGUAGUCUCUAGUAGGAAUGAAUGCUUUGAAUGUCGUACUCUGCGAUGCUGAUGUUUUAUUUCCACAAAAAACACAAGCCUGGAGGAGUUCUGCUGUGUGGUGCUACUAAUGCUAACAGUUAGCAUCUACUGGUCAAGAUGUUUUCUGCAGUUUCCUGGGCAUUAAACCAACCAACAACAGCCUUCCCCGACACUAGUCAAGAUGGGUGAGCCAAUGAAUGUUAAGUGACAGUGUGACAUAGAUAUGUCAGGCUUUUCAAAUCCUAGAGUUUCAUCGUCUAUUUUCUAUCAGAAGCUAAUGAGGAGAUAGGUGUAAGAGACUGUUUUCAUGUUCAACCUGCAUGAAACACUCACCCCGGCUUUCCACAGGAGCUGUCAGCAGCACGUUACUGCAGCAGCACGUCUUGCUCGCGCAAACUGCUGCUUGGCCCUUCACACAAGACGCGAAGCAGCAGAGGAGCAGCUGUCACCGACCGAGCACGAAGUCACACGAGUGACUUCGUCAGUAAACACAACAAGCAGGAAAAAACUACAACAUGGCUCCAAAAGGUUUGUGUUUUAUGUUCUGUCCGUUUUAUAAUCGCCAAUACGGACCUGAAAAACAAAGGAGACCGCUAGCUAGGUGAUAACUUCUCACAGUAACUGUUUUUAAAAGUAAAGCAACCGGAAGGCAUUACGUUUCUUUAUUCUGAAAAUCUCGGGAGCUUCUCUCCAUUUCCGCGUCCGAUUUCCUGUCUUUCCUUCCCCCAAAAUGUCGAACUUGACCCGUUUCAGAGGCGUUGCGUAGAAAAUAGAACCGGCGCGUAAAGGCCGCGACAUGCUGCUCCUGAGACGCGGCCGACUCGCGCUGCUGACGGCUCCAGUGGAAAAGGUUCUGUUGACCACAGCGGUUCCUAUCAGCAGCUAUGACGUGCUGCUGCAGUAACGUGCUGCUGACGGCUCC
rnacentral:lncRNA from 1 species